UACAGAGGGGGCAAGCGUUGUUCGGAAUUAUUGGGCGUAAAGCGCACGUAGGCGGCAUUGCAAGUCGGAUGUGAAAUCUUAUGGCUUAACCAUAAAAGUGCAUCCGAAACUGCAGUGCUUGAGUACUUAAGAGGAUCGCGGAAUUCCCGGUGUAGAGGUGGAAUUCGUAGAUAUCGGGAGGAACACCAGUGGCGAAGGCGGCGAUCUGGGAAGAUACUGACGCUGAGGUGCGAAAGCGUGGGGAGCAAACAGG
rnacentral:rRNA from 1 species